GACGAACGCUGGCGGCGUGCUUAACACAUGCCAGUCGAACGGAAAGGCCCUGCUUUUGUGGGGUGCUCGAGUGGCGAACGGGUGAGUAACACGUGAGAAACCUGCCCUUGACUUUGGGAUAACUUCAGGAAACUGGGGCUAAUACCGGAUAGGAGCUCCUGCUGCAUGGUGGGGGUUGGAAAGUUUCGGCGGUUGGGGAUGGACUCGCGGCUUAUCAGCUUGUUGGUGGGGUAGUGGCUUACCAAGGCUUUGACGGGUAGCCGGCCUGAGAGGGUGACCGGCCACAUUGGGACUGAGAUACGGCCCAGACUCCUACGGGAGGCAGCAGUGGGGAAUAUUGCACAAUGGGCGGAAGCCUGAUGCAGCAACGCCGCGUGCGGGAUGACGGCCUUCGGGUUGUAAACCGCUUUCGCCUGUGACGAAGCGUGAGUGACGGUAAUGGGUAAAGAAGCACCGGCUAACUACGU
rnacentral:rRNA from 1 species